GAGCUGCGAAGAGGGAGAAAAUAGAGAGAGACGAUGGUGGCGUCUACCCGGUGGGCGUCCAUCCGAAUCAUGAUCGGCACCAUACUCGGUGGAGUCCUCGGCUUCUAUGUCAUGCACCGCGUCGAGAUCAACUACAAGGAGAAGAUGAAGGAGAGGUUGGCCAGGUACGAGCAAGAGAUGGAGAGAAAGGAACAACAGCGGCUGCAAAACGAGCCCUUAUCCGAUUCGUGAUUCCUGACGCGGCGCCUUCUUCUUUCGGGUGAAUGGAGGUCUAGGAUCAAGGUCCCGCUUUCUAAAUUUUCAUCGUGAUUUGUCGUUCUUGGCAUGCCCAGCUCGGUUUGCUUUUGGAUCUCUUCACUUUUUGCCUUGCCGGAUUCAUAUGAAACCUAUUUAGACUUGAACUUUGUUUCACAGGCUUAACUUCAAGCAUCAGGUGGGUGCUCCUCCAGUCUAACUUCAAGCAUCUUUUUCAUUCUAGCUAAUACUUGGAAAACAGACAUCUUGUAUCGAGAAUUUAAUUUUAAUUAGCAUACGUUAAUAAUUUUGCUGGGCA